rnacentral:tRNA from 1 species
AAUCUUAUAGUUUAAGUAAAAAUAUUAAAUUGCAAAUUUAAAGUUAAAAUAGUUUAAGAUUU